rnacentral:rRNA from 1 species
UGCCAGCAGCCGCGGUAAUACGUAAGGGGCAAGCGUUAUCCGGAAUCACUGGGCGUAAAGGGUGCGUAGGUGGUCUUGUAAGUCAGAAGUGAAAGGCUACGGCUUAACCGUAGUAAGCUUUUGAAACUGCAGGACUUGAGUGCAGGAGAGGAAAGUGGAAUUCCUAGUGUAGCGGUGAAAUGCGUAGAUAUUAGGAGGAACACCAGUGGCGAAGGCGACUUUCUGGACUGUAACUGACACUGAGGCACGAAAGCGUGGGGAGCGAACAGGAUUAGAAACCCCCGUAGUCC